GACGAACGCUGGCGGCGUGCUUAACACAUGCAAGUCGAACGGAAAGGCCCUGCUUUUGUGGGGGGCUCGAGUGGCGAACGGGUGAGUAACACGUGAGUAACCUGCCCUUGACUUUGGGAUAACUUCAGGAAACUGGGGCUAAUACCGGAUAGGAGCUCCUGCUGCAGGGUGGGGGUUGGAAAGUUUCGGCGGUUGGGGAUGGACUCGCGGGUUAUCAGCUUGUUGGUGGGGUAGUGGCUUACCAAGGCUUUGGCGGGUAGCCGGCCUGAGAGGGUGACCGGCCACAUUGGGACUGAGAUACGGCCCAGACUCCUACGGGAGGCAGCAGUGGGGAAUAUUGCACAAUGGAGGGACGCCUGAUGCAGCAACGCCGCGUGCGGGAUGACAGCCUUCGGGUUGUAAACCGCUUUCGCCUGUGACGAGGCGUGAGUGACGGUAAUGGGUAAAGAAGCACCGGCUAACUACGUG
rnacentral:rRNA from 1 species